rnacentral:rRNA from 1 species
AGCGAACGCUGGCGGUAGGCCUAACACAUGCAAGUCGAACGGCAGCACAGUAAGAGCUUGCUCUUACGGGUGGCGAGUGGCAGACGGGUGAGGAAUACAUCGGAAUCUACUUUUUCGUGGGGGAUAACGUAGGGAAACUUACGCUAAUACCGCAUACGACCUACGGGUGAAAGCAGGGGAUCUUCGGACCUUGCGCGAUUGAAUGAGCCGAUGUCGGAUUAGCUAGUUGGCGGGGUAAAGGCCCACCAAGGCGACGAUCCGUAGCUGGUCUGAGAGGAUGAUCAGCCACACUGGAACUGAGACACGGUCCAGACUCCUACGGGAGGCAGCAGUGGGGAAUAUUGGACAAUGGGCGCAAGCCUGAUCCAGCCAUACCGCGUGGGUGAAGAAGGCCUUCGGGUUGUAAAGCCCUUUUGUUGGGAAAGAAAAGCAGCAGGUUAAUACCCCGCUGUUCUGACGGUACCCAAAGAAUAAGCACCGGCUAACUUCGUG